GCUGGGAUUGUGGCUCAGCGGUAGAGCUCUCGCUUAGCAAGGGCGGGACCCGGGUUGGAUUCUCGAUUCUCAGUA
rnacentral:tRNA from 1 species